CCUCCUUCUCCUCUUAUAGCCGCAGGGUCACUUGAAAUUUGGGGAGGAAUCACGGGUCAUCUGGGAUGCUGGGAAGGAGGAGGAAAUGGUGGGCGGAUUGCUCCGGAUGACUUUCCUAUUUGGCCACGGACACGAGAUCGCCGGACGCCUGAUGCGGAAGGCGCGGAUGGCUGGGAUUCGGAUCGUGGAAGUAGGGAUCGGCUGGGCGGAUCGCGGAAGGGAGGCACGGACUUCCUUCUUCGGGUGCUGCUGGGAUCACGGCUUGCAUCACGGGAUUCCGGGAGGUGGAUCAAGAGCGGCUGGGAUUGGAUGCGGAAGGUGGGGACGCGCUGAAAUGGAAGGAAAUUUGGGCAUUUUCACCGCGUGAAGAACGCGGUUGCUGGGACGAGGAGGAGAACGCGGACUGGACUUUCUUCUUUGGGCA
rnacentral:lncRNA from 1 species